rnacentral:rRNA from 1 species
UACGUAGGGGGCAAGCGUUGUCCGGAAUCAUUGGGCGUAAAGAGCGUGUAGGCGGCCAGAUAAGUCCGCUGUGAAAUCUCGAGGCUCAACUUCGAGCUGUCGGUGGAAACUGUCUGGCUAGAGUCCGGAAGAGGAGAAUGGAAUUCCUGGUGUAGCGGUGAAAUGCGUAGAUAUCAGGAGGAACACCGGUGGUGUAGACGGCUUUCUGGACCGUAACUGACGCUGAGGAGCGAAAGCGUGGGGAGCGAACAGG